CCUACGGGAGGCAGCAGUGGGGAAUAUUGGACAAUGGGGGGAACCCUGAUCCAGCGACGCCGCGUGAGUGAAGAAGUAUUUCGGUAUGUAAAGCUCUAUCAGCAGGGAAGAAAAUGACGGUACCUGACUAAGAAGCCCCGGCUAACUACGUGCCAGCAGCCGCGGUAAUACGUAGGGGGCAAGCGUUAUCCGGAUUUACUGGGUGUAAAGGGAGCGUAGACGGUGCAGCAAGUCUGAUGUGAAAGGCCGGGGCCUAACCCCGGGACUGCAUUGGAAACUGUUGAACUGGAGUACAGGAGGGGUAAGCGGAAUUCCUAGUGUAGCGGUGAAAUGCGUAGAUAUUAGGAGGAACACCAGUGGCGAAGGCGGCUUACUGGACUGUAACUGACGUUGAGGCUCGAAAGCGUGGGGAGCAAACAGGAUUAGAUACCCCAGUAGUC
rnacentral:rRNA from 1 species